rnacentral:lncRNA from 1 species
GUGAUAAUAAAGAUAUCAACACUGACUAUUUUACACAUGUUUAUCUGUUUUCUUGCAGAUCUUGUUAAAGCAGUAUUUUUAAUUCUGAAUACAUGUCAAAGAUAGGUGAAGAAUAAGAUCUUGUCUUCUUUGUCACUGAAAAAGAAUUAAGAAAAACCCUUUGGCUGCCCCUUAAUCUACUGCUAUUUCAGCCAGCAAUUGCAACUUUGCAGUUACCAGGCUGCUUCUCUGCCAGCAGCCUGACUACUCAGGCUGCACCCUGGAGGGAAUUCUGUUCCUGAGCUUUUAGGGCCUCCUAUUCCUCAUGUGUCAAACUUCCUAAUCAGACAGUAUCCUAGGCAAGUCUUUCUUAUUUUAUUAAUUCUCUGGGAUAUUGUUGUACGUGAGCCUUCCUCUGAGUCUCAUUUUUCCAUAAAGA